rnacentral:rRNA from 1 species
GACGAACGCUGGCGGCGUGCUUAACACAUGCAAGUCGAACGCUGAAGACCUGGCUUUUGUUGGGUUGGAUGAGUGGCGAACGGGUGAGUAACACGUGAGUAACCUGCCCUCUUCUUUGGGAUAACGCCCGGAAACGGGUGCUAAUACUGGAUAUUCACUGGCCUUCGCAUGGGGGUUGGUGGAAAGGUUUGUUCUGGUGGGGGAUGGGCUCGCGGCCUAUCAGCUUGUUGGUGGGGUGAUGGCCUACCAAGGCUUUGACGGGUAGCCGGCCUGAGAGGGUGACCGGACACAUUGGGACUGAGAUACGGCCCAGACUCCUACGGGAGGCAGCAGUGGGGAAUAUUGCACAAUGGGCGAAAGCCUGAUGCAGCGACGCCGCGUGAGGGAUGGAGGCCUGCGGGUUGGAAACCUCUUUCGCUCAUGGUCAAGCCGCAACUGUGGGUUGUGGUGAGGGUAGUGGGUAAAGAAGCGCCGGCUAACUACGUG